GACGAACGCUGGCGGCGUGCUUAACACAUGCAGGUCGAACGGUAAGGCCCUUCGGGGUACACGAGUGGCGAACGGGUGAGUAACACGUGGGUGAUCUGCCCUGCACUUCGGGAUAAGCCUGGGAGACUGGGUCUAAUACCGGAUAGGACCCUGGGAUGCAUGUCCUGGGGUGGAAAGCUUUUGCGGUGUGGGAUGGGCCCGCGGCCUAUCAGCUUGUUGGUGGGGUGAUGGCCUACCAAGGCGACGACGGGUAGCCGGCCUGAGGGGGUGACCGGCCACACUGGGACUGAGAUACGGCUCAGACUCCUACGGGAGGCAGCAGUGGGGAAUAUUGCACAGUGGGCGCAAGCCUGAUGCAGCGACGCCGCGUGAGGGAUGACGGCCUUCGGGUUGUAAACCUCUUUCAGCACCGACGAAGCGCAAGUGACGGUAGGUGCAGAAGAAGGACCGGCCAACUACGUGCCAGCCGCCGCCGUAA
rnacentral:rRNA from 1 species